rfam:Populus trichocarpa scaffold_7_contig_57, whole genome shotgun sequence.
UCGAGAAGAGUCUGUCAGCAUAGCCAAGGAGACUUCCCAUAACCAAUUAAGAAGUUGCUAAUUCUAACCACUUGUCUCAUAGUGUGGGCAAGUCGUCCUUGGCUACCGAACAACACUCUUAUCU